CAGCAAACCAGAGGAAAGGCAUUUAUUUUUUUAUUUUUUUAUUUUUUUCUUUUCUCUUGUUUUUCUCCGUCUUCUCCGAUUCUCAGCCAGACCAAUCCGAUUCUCCGCCAGACCAAGAUCGUGUUUGACGGUCCGAUGAAGAUCAUGUCUGCAAUCGCUGCGAUUUGUGGUGUGGACUAAGUCGGCUUUUGAGCAGGAUCUAUGGACCGUUUGAGAAGCCGUCGGAGAAGGAGAAGGGGUAUGUGCUUCCCAGGGCUGAUGGUGAAAAUGGUGAAAACUGUCACGUGAGCAGACUUGGAAGAAGAGCUUCGUCUGCUGGCAUCUUACAGAGGCCAAACAGUGACCAAAACUGUGCGAGGCAUGAUGUAUUACCGAAAGGCUUUGGAGCUUCAGGCCUUCCUUGAUAUGGCAAAGGAUGAAGGUGCCUCACGAAACUUUGUUAUGAUUACUUCUAAAACAUCUGUACAAAUUCCUGAAUCUGCUUUCCCCAAAAGAGAGGUAAGCCUUCAUCCAACCAAAAACACAGUUAUUGUAAAAUGUUUAUAUAUUAAUUACCUAAAAAUGUUUAUAUAUGAAUGAUUAAAGAAUAUUGAAAAAAUGGAACAUGUUCAUGAUGUUCAAUAUGCAAUUUGAUGAGUUGCAUCAGAGACAAUCACAAUGGACAGUUCCAGACACAGAGCUAAGAGAGUCACUAAGACUUGCUGUUGCUGAAGUAUUAUUGCCUGCUUAUAGAUCAUUCCUCAAACGCUUUGGGCCUCUGGUUGAGAGUGGUAAGAAUUCUCAGAGAUACAUAAAGUAUACAGCUGAAGAUCUCGAGAGAUUGCUGGAUGAGUUGUUUGAAGGAAAGUCUAUGAACGAACCACGACGGUAAAAUCAAACUAUCAAAGCUCAUUUUGUAAGGUAAAUUUCUGUCAAGCUACUUCACUUCUGUCUCCGUUGUAUAUGAAGUGUCAACAAUUUGUGUUUGUUUGUUUGUAUUUUUCUUAGUGAUGAGUGUGUAAAUUACUUGGAAACGAGUUAUUUCUCUUUUGUAUAACGUUUACGUAUCAAGCUUUGAGCUAAAACCUGAUCUCUGUCAGAAAGUAUCACGCUUUGAGCUUGAUGAUUCUCUAGUUCAUUGUGUUCUUCCCAGAUUUUAGAAGAUGGAGCAAUUCAAAGAGAGGAAGUUCGCAGAGAAUGUGGUAAAGGUGUCACUUCUUCUAAAGCUCUUUGUGGUCACAUGGCUUGUCACUUUGAGAGAGAGAAGAUGGUGUCAUGUUCUCAUUUUUUUCAGGUCAAGAAGAGUGUAAAGUCAUCAGUCAUCAGUCAUUAGUCACUAGUCACGGACUUGUGUAGUAAUCACUUGUGCAAUGCUUACGUACUAACUCUUGUAGUCUUGUAUUCUUGCAAACUCUUGUAGUCACCAGUCACAGACUUGUAAAGUUUUGUGUCUAUAUAAACUUGUGAACUCUUGUAGUCUUGUGAACUCUUGCAGUCUUGUCUAUAUAAACUUUGUAUACCAAA